CUUGCAAGCAGGGGGUCAGGAGUUCGAAUCUCCUCAUCUCCACCA
rnacentral:tRNA from 1 species